rnacentral:rRNA from 1 species
GUCUACGACCAUACCACCCUGAAUGCGCCUGAUCUCAUCUGAUCUCGGAAGCUAACCAGGGUCAGGCCUGGUUAGUACUUGGAUGGGAGAAAAUAGAAUAUCAGAAAUACUAUGUA